AGAGUUUGAUCAUGGCUCAGAUUGAACGCUGGCGGCAGGCCUAACACAUGCAAGUCGAACGGUAACAGGAAGCAGCUUGCUGCUUUGCUGACGAGUGGCGGACGGGUGAGUAAUGUCUGGGAAACUGCCUGAUGGAGGGGGAUAACUACUGGAAACGGUGGCUAAUACCGCAUAACGUCGCAAGACCAAAGAGGGGGACCUUCGGGCCUCUUGCCAUCAGAUGUGCCCAGAUGGGAUUAGCUUGUUGGUGAGGUAACGGCUCACCAAGGCGACGAUCCCUAGCUGGUCUGAGAGGAUGACCAGCCACACUGGAACUGAGACACGGUCCAGACUCCUACGGGAGGCAGCAGUGGGGAAUAUUGCACAAUGGGCGCAAGCCUGAUGCAGCCAUGCCGCGUGUAUGAAGAAGGCCUUAGGGUUGUAAAGUACUUUCAGCGGGGAGGAAGGUGUUGUGGUUAAUAACCACAGCAAUUGACGUUACCCGCAGAAGAAGCACCGGCUAACUCCGUGCCAGCAGCCGCGGUAAUACGGAGGGUGCAAGCGUUAAUCGGAAUUACUGGGCGUAAAGCGCACGCAGGCGGUCUGUCAAGUCGGAUGUGAAAUCCCCGGGCUCAACCUGGGAACUGCAUUCGAAACUGGCAGGCUUGAGUCUUGUAGAGGGGGGUAGAAUUCCAGGUGUAGCGGUGAAAUGCGUAGAGAUCUGGAGGAAUACCGGUGGCGAAGGCGGCCCCCUGGACAAAGACUGACGCUCAGGUGCGAAAGCGUGGGGAGCAAACAGGAUUAGAUACCCUGGUAGUCCACGCCGUAAACGAUGUCUACUUGGAGGUUGUGCCCUUGAGGCGUGGCUUCCGGAGCUAACGCGUUAAGUAGACCGCCUGGGGAGUACGGCCGCAAGGUUAAAACUCAAAUGAAUUGACGGGGGCCCGCACAAGCGGUGGAGCAUGUGGUUUAAUUCGAUGCAACGCGAAGAACCUUACCUGGUCUUGACAUCCACAGAAGUUUCCAGAGAUGGAUUGGUGCCUUCGGGAACUGUGAGACAGGUGCUGCAUGGCUGUCGUCAGCUCGUGUUGUGAAAUGUUGGGUUAAGUCCCGCAACGAGCGCAACCCUUAUCCUUUGUUGCCAGCGGUUAGGCCGGGAACUCAAAGGAGACUGCCAGUGAUAAACUGGAGGAAGGUGGGGAUGACGUCAAGUCAUCAUGGCCCUUACGACCAGGGCUACACACGUGCUACAAUGGCGCAUACAAAGAGAAGCGACCUCGCGAGAGCAAGCGGACCUCAUAAAGUGCGUCGUAGUCCGGAUUGGAGUCUGCAACUCGACUCCAUGAAGUCGGAAUCGCUAGUAAUCGUGGAUCAGAAUGCCACGGUGAAUACGUUCCCGGGCCUUGUACACACCGCCCGUCACACCAUGGGAGUGGGUUGCAAAAGAAGUAGGUAGCUUAACCUUCGGGAGGGCGCUUACCACUUUGUGAUUCAUGACUGGGGUGAAGUCGUAACAAGGUAACCGUAGGGGAACCUGCGGUUG
rnacentral:rRNA from 1 species